rnacentral:rRNA from 1 species
UACGUAGGGUGCAAGCGUUAAUCGGAAUUACUGGGCGUAAAGCGUACGCAGGCGGCUUUGCAAGACAGGUGUGAAAUCCCCGGGCCUAACCUGGGAACUGCAUUUGUGACUGCAUAGCUAGAGUUUGUCAGAGGGGGGCGGAAUUCCACGUGUAGCAGUGAAAUGCGUAGAGAUGUGGAGGAACACCGAUGGCGAAGGCAGCCCCCUGGGCUAACACUGACGCUCAUGCACGAAAGCGUGGGGAGCAAACAGG